rnacentral:rRNA from 1 species
CCAAUAGCGUAUAUUAAAGUUGUUGCAGUUAAAAAGCUCGUAGUUGAAUUUCGGGGUUAGUAGAUUGGUCGUGCCACUGGUAUGUACUGGCCUUACUGAUUCCUCCUUCCUGAUGAACCGUAAUGCCAUUAAUUUGGUGUUGCGGGGAGACUGGACUGUUACUUUGAAAAAAUUAGAGUGUUUAAAGCAGGCUAACGCUUGAAUACAUUAGCAUGGAAUAAUGAAAUAGGACGUUCGAUCCUAUUUUGUUGGUUUCUAGGAUUGACGUAAUGAUUAAUAGGGAUAGGUGGGGGCAUUAGUAUUCAAUUGUCAGAGGUGAAAUUCUUGGAUUUAUUGAAGACUAACUACUGCGAAAGCAUUUGCCAAGGAUGUUUUCAUUAAUCAAGAACGAAAGUUAGGGGAUCGAAGACGAUCAGAUACCGUCGUAGUCUUAACCAUAAACUAUGCCGACUAGGGAUCGGAUGAUGUUAAUUUUUUAAUGACUCAUUCGGCGCCUUACG